ACAAAUGCAAGAGGAAAUGGUCCGGGAAAAUGAAACUUAAAUGCCUUUCUCAUCACAAUAUCAUCAACUGAGGCAGCAGAGACAGACAGGACAAAGUAACAGACACCCUCUUCAUUGAGUUGAAUUGAGUUCAGGAUAAACAACAGAGGAAAAGUACAACAACAUGAUGAUUUCAGCUCCUGAUAAGGCAGAUUGUGGGCCGAUGGUGGUUACUGUUGGAUUCUUGACGUUGGUCAUUGGAGUCGCUGUUGGAGUGAAACUGAAGGUGGCCACAGACCGGUUCGUUCAACAACAUCUAUGGAAGGUUUAUGUCUUUGUCCCUGUGU